UACGUAGGGGGCAAGCGUUAUCCGGAUUUACUGGGUGCAAAGGGAGCGUAGACGGUCCUGCAAGCCAGAUGUGAAAGCCCGGGGCUCAACCCCGGGACUGCAUUUGGAACUGUAAGGCUAGAGUGUCGGAGAGGCAGGCGGAAUUCCUAGUGUAGCGGUGAAAUGCGUAGAUAUUAGGAGGAACACCAGUGGCGAAGGCGGCCUGCUGGACGAUGACUGACGUUGAGGCUCGAAAGCGUGGGGAGCAAACAGG
rnacentral:rRNA from 1 species